rnacentral:rRNA from 1 species
CACGUGUAGCGGUGAAAUGCGUAGAGAUGUGGAGGAACACCAGUGGCGAAGGCGGCUUUCUGGUCUGUUAACUGACGCUGAGGCGCGAAAGCGUGGGGAGCAAACAGGAUUACGAUACCCUGGUAGUCCACGCCGUAAACGAUGAGUGCUAAGUGUUAGGGGGUUUCCGCCCCUUAGUGCUGCAGCUAACGCAUUAAGCACUCCGCCUGGGGAGUACGGCCGCAAAGGCUG